GUGCUGCAAGUUUUAAUUGAAUACUUUAGAUAGGAUCCCAAUCUAAAAAGCCUUAAAUUAGGCAAAUACGAAACUAGAGAAGAAAAACAAAUGUUAACAAACCCUUAUAGACCAGUUCUUCUCAAAGUUUGAUGUGCAUUCAAGUCAGCUGGCGUCAGGUUGAAGACCAGGCCCGAGCAGCGUGUGGGAUUCUGCCUCACUAACAGAAAUCCAAGUGAUGUUGACAUCUCUUGGCCCUGUAACAUACUUUGAAGAGUAUCUUCACUCACAGUACCAAGGAAAGCUCAAGAUCCGUUGGCUGGCAUCCAAGGCCUUUGUCAUUCUAAACCUCCACCCACACAUCCUGCUCCAGUUCCCAACCUGUCCUCCAGACUGCACUACAGCUAGAGGAAACACCCAAAAUACCAGGUACCAAAGCCCCCUGUCUCCUUGUGUGUGUUCUGCCUCAUGCAUGCCUUCUGUGCUUCUUCCCAUAGCAAUCCAAGAAUGCCUCAUUAUCACCUCUCUAUUUACAAUGAAACCUGAUGAUCUUGUCUGGGUCCAUUCAAAACACUACCGGGAUCCAUACAGUUCAGCUCAGUCCCAGCACACAACUGGCUCUCAGUGCAGGUUUUAGGUGAAUGCACUAAAGAAACUGUGACAAUUAAUA
rnacentral:lncRNA from 1 species